GGAUUGUGGCACAGUGGUAGAGCACUUGCCUGGAAUGAGCGAGGCCCUGGGUUCGAUCCUCAGCACCA
rnacentral:tRNA from 1 species